GGGGCGGUGGCGUAGUUGGGAGCGCGUCAGACUGAAGCUCAACUUCAAUCAUAUUAUCUGAAGGUCACCGGUUCGAUCCCGGUUCACCCCA
rnacentral:tRNA from 1 species